GCCUUAAUAGCUCAGUGAC
rnacentral:tRNA from 1 species